GGUGAAAGGUGACCAUGAUAGGGUUGGUAGACUAGCUUGAACAAGUAACUAAUCUUACCAAGCAAACCAAAGGUUAUUGAUAUGUGUGGAUGUGGCACUUGCUGUCUGGGAUGCUGGAGUGGUCAUGAGUCGAGAUACCUGGAAUCUUGAAACGAGACUAGUUGAUUACGUACACUUGGAUUUGGGUUAAACUUUAUAUUAUGCUUCCGCUGAACAUAACGAGUUAUAAAUUAUGAUUUUGUAAACACUUAUUUGAAAUGAACGAAAGCUUUUUAUUUGAAAUCU